AGGACGAACGCUGGCGGCGCGCUUAACACAUGCAAGUCGAGCGAGAACCGGUCCUUCGGGACUGGGGAAAGCGGCGAACGGGUGAGUAACACGUGGGUAAUCAACCCUUGGCACUGGGAUAGCCCGAGGAAACUCGGAUUAAUACCGGAUGGCCCAGCAGUCUUUCGGGACGGCUGGAAAAGGUAGCUCUGGCCUCCGGCCAAGGACGAGCCCGCGGCGGAUUAGCUUGUUGGUGGGGUAAUGGCCUACCAAGGCGACGAUCCGUAGCUGGUCUGAGAGGACGAUCAGCCACACUGGGACUGAGACACGGCCCAGACUCCUACGGGAGGCAGCAGUGGGGAAUCUUGCACAAUGGGCGAAAGCCUGAUGCAGCGACGCCGCGUGAGGAGAAGGCUUUCGGGUUGUAAACCUCUUUCAGGAGGGACGAAGCUACUCGGGUUAAUAGCCCAGAGGUGACGGUACCUCCAGAAGAGCCCCGGCUAACUACGUGCCAGCAGCCGC
rnacentral:rRNA from 1 species